GAGAAUCAUUUCUAAGUUUAUAAAGAUCUGAAGAACCAUUUUGAUUCUCUAUAAUCAUAGAAGAUUUUGUCGACUUCUUAUCAAGUUGAUGGAGAUCCGAAGGAUCAAACUGCUUUGGAGAAUCAGUUUGAUCUUCUGUAUCAAUAUUCCAAAUCAGGGUGAUCUUCUGUAUAAUGUUUUUAUCAUCCUCAUGCCAUUGGGUAGUAUGAAAACGAUACCUUGCAACCCAAAAAUCAAAGAUCAUAUUAAAUUCAAAGAGAUGAUAUAAAUGAGAAGGGGGGGGGGGAGGAGAGAGGGAGGUGCUGGGGGACUGACUUUAUCUCUGACUACUCCAAGUCCCGAUAAGGGGAGGGAAAGAAAAGGCCAGAGUAUUUUUCUUCUGCUACUUGCUUCCAAGGGUUAGGGUUC
rnacentral:lncRNA from 1 species